UCAAAGCCAGCAGUGCAGCAUCUUCCAGCUUCCAGUCCCUGUUUCUGACUCUAAACCUCUUGCCUCCCUUUUUAAAAGAACCUCUGAUUGCAUUGGGCCAUCUGAAUAAUGCAGAGUGGAUGCCAUGUCUUAGAAUUCAUAACAUAAUCACAUCCUAGAGAAUCUCCUUUGCUAUAUCAGAUUGGUUUGGUAACACACCAUGAUGCUAAGGAUAGAUAUACAAAGAAGUCACCGUUUCCAUCAUCCAGACCACCAAUAGUACAGUUCAGGAACCAUCACAGAACAUCGUGAGUUGAUCAUUUUCUGCUGAGGAAGAAGAGUUAUGGAACUGUAUGCCACAGAUUCUCCAUUCAGUUCCACCGAUCAGUUACAGUUCCUAGGCCAAGUGACACC